ensembl:lncRNA
AUAUGUUGCCUGCUUUGCAUGUUAUUUUGGCAUUAAUAAGUGUCACAUAUCAGUUUGCAAACAAUGUCUACUUUUUAAAAAAUCAUUGAGUUAAUAAAGCUGCAUACAGACACCUUCUCUUUUUUGCUUUCUUGAGGAAGGCAGCUCAUAAAUGCAGGUGUUUCAGCCCAGCUUAGUGCUUUCUGUGGUGGUGGGGCAGCCAGCGAGAAAUACGGAGCGUAGGGGUUGGUAAUGUUCUCUGGUUGCGCCGUGAUUGGUUCAACAUCAUAUUUUCAAAAUCAUAGCUAUCAAGCUAGCAGUCAUCAUCAUGCAUCCAGACAACAAUCUACUGGCAAAUCCUUUUCAAUCCUUGUCAUAUGAAGAGAAAUUAUAGAUAAAAAGUAUCGGUGGUCAUCAACCUUUCCAAAUGAACACAAAAAGUUGGAAAUCGCAAAUUCAACAAUGAGUGGUUUGGAAGGAAUCAGUGGCUAACUGCAAGCUUAACAAAUCAAUCACUGGCCUGCUGUUCAACAUGAAUACUGCCGCAUUCAAAACAACUGGAAACUCGGAACUGGGAAAUCUUAGACUUCAGUGAGUUCAAAACAACUGGAAACUCAGAACUGGGAAAUCUUAGACUUCAGUGAGUUCAAGACAACUGGGAACUCUGACUGGGAAAACAGGUUUUGAACGGCCAUCCAACUCAGAAAUCAUAGGAGCCCAUGUGCCUCACCCUAAUAAUGUUGUCCCUUUCCCCUCUCAUAACUUAGCCGACUGCUCUGACUUGAUGGUGCACAUGUAGACUAUAGCCUGUUUUUGAGAAAUGUAAUCAUCAAAUAUUGUAAGAGCUUUCAUUGUCUGCUUAUAUGCAGUUCUGACUUGGUGUACAGGGAGAAUACUGUAAGAAUGGCCCAUGUUCAAAAUUCUGUCGCUGUACAUUUCAAAAGUGCUGAACAAAUGAUUAUAUUGACGACGUCCAUCCUAGCUCUCUCAUUGUCUUAAUCUAAAUUACAGAUAUCCUGUAGUCCACUCGUUGUCCCCUUGUGCCAUAGUUUGUACAUCUCAAUUGUCAGUAGAAACCACAUUUGUUUAAGCAAGUCAGCCAUAUCAGCUAUGUUUUUUAAAAAGGAUUCUCUCCAUGGUGCUGAAAAGAAAGCUCUGCUGUUGGGACAGCUUUAUGUCGACCCUAACAGUUUGUGGGCACCGUUUGUUAAAGUUAUAGUGCAAUUAAUGUAUUGUUUAGUGUUGUGUUGUGUAUGGGAAUGGGAAAACAUGUUUUUUAUUAAGUUGAACAUGUGCUCUUUGUGACAGAAUGUUAGAAUUAGGUGAAAUAAAAGUUACACUCCCCAA